UACGUAGGGCGCGAGCGUUGUCCGGAUUUAUUGGGCGUAAAGAGCUCGUAGGCGGCUUGUUGCGUCGACCGUGAAAACCCGGGGCUCAACUUCGGGCUUGCGGCUGAUACGGGCGGGCUGGAGGUCGGUAGGGGAGAAUGGAAUUCCUGGUGUAGCGGUGAAAUGCGCAGAUAUCAGGAGGAACACCGGUGGCGAAGGCGGGUCUCUGGGCAAUUCCUGACGCUGAGGAGCGAAAGCGUGGGGAGCAAACGGG
rnacentral:rRNA from 1 species